UGGGAGAGCUCAGCUAAGUGCUGACGCCGAAGGAGCAACGCCCCGGAAACUCUCAGGCACAUGAACCGUGC
rnacentral:ncRNA from 1 species